rnacentral:rRNA from 1 species
UACGUGGGGUGCAAGCGUUAAUCGGAAUUACUGGGCGUAAAGCGUGCGCAGGCGGUUUUGUAAGUUUGUCGUGAAAUCCCCGGGCUCAACCUGGGAAUUGCGAUGAAGACUGCAAGGCUAGAAUCUGGCAGAGGGGGGUAGAAUUCCACGUGUAGCAGUGAAAUGCGUAGAGAUGUGGAGGAACACCGAUGGCGAAGGCAGCCCCCUGGGUCAAGAUUGACGCUCAUGCACGAAAGCGUGGGGAGCAAACAGG